rnacentral:misc_RNA from 1 species
GAUGAAGAACGUAGCGAAAUGCGAUAAGUAAUGUGAAUUGCAGAAUUUAGUGAAUCAUCGAAUCUUUGAACGCACAUUGCGCCCGCCAGUAUUCUGGCGGGCAUGCCUGUUCGAGCGUCAUUUCAACCCUCAGGCCCCCAGUGCCUGGUGUUGGGGAUCGGCCCAGCCUUCCUGUAAGGCCGCCGGCCCCGAAAUCUAGUGGCGGUCUCGCUGUAGUCCUCCUCUGCGUAGUAGCACAACCUCGCAGUUGGAACGCGGCGGUGGCCAUGCCGUUAAACACCCCACUUCUGAAAGUUGACCUCGGAUCAGGUAGGAAUACCCGCUGAACUUAAGCAUAUCAAUAAGCGGAGGA